GCCGACAGGAAGCGUCGAUGCUUCCUAGGGCUAAACAGCGGUGGUAUUAUUCCCUUAAUGGGGCUGUCACAUUAAGUUGACAGUAUACAGCUACUUUAUCGUAUCACUACUGCAUAACUCUCUCUGAGAGAUUUAGAAAUGUAUUAUUU